rnacentral:rRNA from 1 species
CGUCGCCACGGGAAUACGUAGGGUGCAAGCGUUAAUCGGAAUUACUGGGCGUAAAGCGUGCGCAGGCGGUUAUAUAAGACAGAUGUGAAAUCCCCGGGCUCAACCUGGGAACUGCAUUUGUGACUGUAUAGCUAGAGUACGGCAGAGGGGGAUGGAAUUCCGCGUGUAGCAGUGAAAUGCGUAGAUAUGCGGAGGAACACCGAUGGCGAAGGCAAUCCCCUGGGCCUGUACUGACGCUCAUGCACGAAAGCGUGGGGAGCAAACAGGAUUAGAUACCCCGGUAGUCCCUGUCUCUUAUACA